rnacentral:lncRNA from 1 species
GAUGGUCAGAAAUGAAAGCAUAGGACCCUUAGUUUCCUUCCAAGAUUACAUAUUAUUUUCAUAUUUUCAUUAUUACCUAUUAUGGAUAGCUUUUUUUUUGGUUGUUGUUUAACCCCAGUGUCAAGAAACUUUGUUGCAUAUACUUCAUUAAAAGAUGCCCACAGUCCUAGGAGAUAAUGGAGAACCAUCACCAAGCAAUUCAGAAAAUGGUGGUGUGAGCUGGGCAUUGUCCGUUGUGGUCUAGCUUUUUUGUUGUUGCUGUUGAGUUUUGUGUUUGUGCCCCCUUCCCUCUGUGACCUUUAUUGCUAAAUGAUGCUGAACACUGCAAGAUUUGUCAGCUUUCUUGUUUCUGGUCAUCCAGAUUGCCUUCUUUUAAUCUCAUUUUAUUAGAGCUACUCAUCCCUUGGAAUGUAAGUUAUUUUACAACUCGUUGCGAGUGUUGUUAUCUGGACUUCAGUGGACUGGAAUUCCUGUUGACACUCUGACCUUGUUAUUUUCAAUAUUUGUGACCAUGGUGGGGAGAAAAGGGAAGCUUAUAUGCUAAACAGUCCUAAGAAAACAUAGUGAAUUUCCAAGUGGAAUUCCACAACUUUGUAGGAAUCUUGGCAUUUGCCAAGUGCUAUAGGAUGUAUCUAUCUCCAGUGUGCU